rnacentral:lncRNA from 1 species
UUGGACCCUUUCUGAGCGGCAUUUCUAUGGCUGUUAGUAAUAUCUCCGAGAGGCGCUCUUUUUCUGGCGGAAUUGGUCAUGGGAGGAGGAGGUGGAGGAGCAGCAACCGCCGCCAGCGCAGUCGACUUGAGUGAGGAGGAAGCGGAAGCAUGGCGCUUCUUGGCGAGAGACGAUGUGGUGGAGGAAGAAAAGGAGGAGCGGCGAGUCUGGGUCGUCGUCGACAUUGUUUCUUCCACCGAUCAAAGUGAGAAUUCGAAACCAGAUCCCACUAAUUCAGGAAAGGAGAGGUAAAGAAAAGGAAGAACAGAGUGAGUGAGUGAGGAAAAGAAGGGAGGAAGAAGAGAAUGCGCUUUUGUCCGCUAUUUAUGAGAAAUUGUUAGUUUGUCCGAAUUAAUUAAUUAAAAUGUUAAUAGAUAUUUCCCCCUUUUCGGUUUUCAGGUUCGGAUUUUG